rnacentral:lncRNA from 12 species
UAUAUAUAUAUAUAUAGUAUAUAUAGGAAUACAUGUUGAAUAGCUUAUACUAGCUGUUUGAAAUGUGUCCAGUGGACAAAAAAUAUAUAAAUAAAUAAAUAAAAAUCUGCCAGUGCCCCUGUAUUGGCUUUGACAGAGACAAGAGAUAACAGAGAGACAUUGGCUGUUCUUCAUUAGAUUCUCCUCUGCCCCUCAGCAAACAGAAGUAGCUCCGGCCAAACAAGCUCAAUCAAAAGGUGGCUUCACUGGACGAUGUUAGCUCAGCAAAUCCCAGCUCUACACACACGGCUUCAAAGAAUAGGCCCAUCUCCUCCUAACCUUUGAUGUAUUGUGUAUUGAUCACGAAGAGAGCCUGGGAGAGAGUGAUGCGAUGGAUGCCCUAAGAGGGAUUAGUGGAGGCCAGGCCAGGCUCAAAUACAAAUGUUCCUAAAGAGCAGCUUGGUCUCUGGGGCUUGGCCAGCUGCCCUGUCCUCUGACCAGCUCUAUAGGAGCAUGCUUUAAAAAUGCCGGAUUAAAAAAAAAUAAAAAAUCACUUUUAAUUAAAUGUACGUGUUGGUGGAUAAGAACUAAUUCUUUUUAAGUCGUUUGGUCUGAAGUAACUUCACUUGAGUGUGAUUAUUGUAAAGGUAUUACUCCAUAUAUCACACUAUUUUGCGGGUCCACUCCAAAGGGCUUCAUAUUUUCGGAGACUAUCAUGAAUAAAGAGCUCUUGAAAUGUAAAUGCCCAGUGAUGUAACUUUUCUGGUGCCAUGCAGUCAUGCUUGGACAGCGCAGCACUCGUCUCCCUGCCGCAGAUGUCUUUAUACCUCGUUUCCUGUCUCUCGUCAGCUAAGUUAAGGUAGAAUGACAUUGUGAUUGCUGUUUCUUUGCCACCACAGACAAUUGGAACGGCCCAUCUUGGAACCGUCUGCUCGCACCUGUAGCCGACAGCCAGCGUGACAGGUCUCUUCAAAGUCUAUGUUUACAGAAUAGCUCCUCGUGACUACAUGAAAGAAUGGAAGAGAUGAAAAUCCGCUUUGAAAGACACAAGCUGGGUAGCGUGCAUGCAGACAAGACUCUUGCUCAACUGCACAACAGUAACUGGAUGAAACCAACAAGCCAUGUAACCGUGCAGCUCUCUGAAGGACUCGCAGUGGUCACAGCAAAAGUGAGUCCAUGGAAAUCAGUUCUGGCAGACUGUCACCGUUGCGAGGUCACAGCCUGUUAAGAGUGUGGGAAGCACAAGCACUAGACUUCAAGAACGAAAACAACUGACAGCUGCAGAGAGUUAAAGCACAGUCAGAAACAAAGACCCUGAGGGGAAAAUAAUGAACAGUUCAUUCAUCCUCAUAUUGUGAUACACAUGAAAGGAUAUUUGUUCUGCGAAAACUUCUUGUUUCGUAUGUUGCUUAUGCUGGAAGACAUCCAUGUUUUUAUUAUGAGUUUUUGGCAUUUGGACCAGAUCUGUUGAUUGUAACAUUCCACUUUUUGGACAAAUAUCCUUCACAGUAAAAGAAUCAUUGUCUCAUCUUCACAAAUAUAAUUACAUUCCAAAAUAUAAUGAAAGGUUCCAAACAGAUGUCUGGCAGGCAUCCAUUAACUCCAAUAAAUAAUAUUUAUCAGUAUCUGUUAAAGGGAGAGUUCACCCAAAAAUGAAAAUUCUGUUAUCAUUUAUUUACCCUCAUGUCAUGAGUUAUUUAAAGCAGAAUAUUCAAGCUGCUUUUUUUUCAUGCAGUGAAAGUGAAUUGUGACCACAGCUAUCAGGCGAGAUUAAUUUUAUCCUGUUUCUCAUACAAAACUAUCAUAUGACUUCCAAAUACUUGUAAUAUAAUGCAUAUAGACCUGUUUUAGGGUGUUUUUAUUGGAGCUUGACAGCCUCCUAGUUUCCACAAUCGAAAAAAAAGUAAUGUAGAAACAGUUUUCACUAAGAAAUUUCUAGAAAAUUUUACAAAUAAUUGAGUAUAAGUACAAAUACUGAAAUAGUAUUUUUUUUUUGUAAAACGUACUCCAAUUACUGCUGUAAAAUACAAGAACAAGCAACUUAUAAGAAAUUGAUAGAACAUUUCACAAAUAAUUACAAAGAAUCGAAAUAGUAAAUUUUUGAAGAAAAUACUAAACUAGUAUAUUUUUUGGUAAACAUACCUAAAUUACUGGCACAAUAUAUAAGAACAAGCAAUUUACAAGAAAUUGAUAGUAAAUUUCACAAAUAAUUACAAAGAAUCAACAAG